CUACGGGGCGCUCCAGUGAGGAAUAUUGCACAAUGGGGGGAACCCUGAUGCAGCAACGCCGCGUGGAGGAUGACGCAUUUCGGUGUGUAAACUCCUUUUAUAUGUCAAGAAAAUGACGGUAGCAUAUGAAUAAGCACCGGCUAACUCCGUGCCAGCACGCCGCGGUGAAUACGGAGGGUGCAAGCGUUACUCGGAAUCACUGGGCGUAAAGGACGCGUAGGCGGGUUGGAAAGUCAGGUGUGAAAUCCUACAGCUUAACUGUAGAACUGCACUUGAAACUUCUAAUCUAGAGUAUGGGAGGGGGAGAUGGAAUUAGUGGUGUAGGGGUAAAAUCCGUAGAUAUCACUAGGAAUACCUAAAGCGAAGGCGAUCUCCUGGAACAUUACUGACGCUAAGGCGUGAAAGCGUGGGGAGCAAACAGGAUUAGAUACCCGAGUAGUC
rnacentral:rRNA from 1 species